rnacentral:rRNA from 1 species
CGCGUAGGCGGCCCGCUAAGUCGAACGUGAAAUCCCCGAGCUCAACUCGGGAACUGCGUCCGAUACUGGCGGGCUUGAAUCCGGGAGAGGGAUGCGGAAUUCCAGGUGUAGCGGUGAAAUGCGUAGAUAUCUGGAGGAACACCGGUGGCGAAGGCGGCAUCCUGGACCGGCAUUGACGCUGAGGCGCGAAAGCUAGGGGAGCAAACGGGAUUAGAUACCCCGGUAGUCCUAGCCCUAAACGAUGAAUGCUUGGUGUGGCGGGUAUCGAUCCCUGCCGUGCCGAAGCUAACGCAUUAAGCAUUCCGCCUGGGGAGUACGGUCGCAAGGCUGAA